rnacentral:rRNA from 1 species
UACGGGGGGAGCAAGCGUUGUUCGGAUUUACUGGGCGUAAAGGGCGCGUAGGCGGCCAGCACAAGUCAGUUGUGAAAUCUCCGGGCUUAACUCGGAAAGUCAACUGAUACUGUGCGGCUAGAGUGCAGAAGGGGCAACUGGAAUUCUCGGUGUAGCGGUGAAAUGCGUAGAUAUCGAGAGGAACACCUGCGGCGAAGGCGGGUUGCUGGGCUGACACUGACGCUGAUGCGCGAAAGCCAGGGGAGGCGAACGGG